AGUAGGUCCCAAGGGUUGGGCUGUUCGCCCAUUAAAGUGGUACGCGAGCUGGGUUCAGAACGUCGUGAGACAGUUCGGUCCCUAUCCGUCGCAGGCGGAGGAAAUUUGAGAAGACCUGUCCUUAGUACGAGAGGACCGGGAUGGACGUACCUCUGGUGUACCAGUUGUCCUGCCAAGGGCAUGGCUGGGUAGCUAUGUACGGAAUGGAUAAGCGCUG
rnacentral:rRNA from 1 species